AACGAACGCUGGCGGCAUGCCUAACACAUGCAAGUCGAACGAGACCUUCGGGUCUAGUGGCGCACGGGUGCGUAACGCGUGGGAACCUGCCCGUAGGUUCGGAAUAACUCCCCGAAAGGGGUGCUAAUACAGGAUAAUGUCUUCGGACCAAAGAUUUAUCGCCUUUGGAUGGGGCCGGGUUGGAUUAGCUGGUUGGUAGGGUAAAAGCCUACCAAGGCGACGAUCCAUAGCUGGUCUGGGAGGAUGAUCAGCCACACUGGGACUGAGACCCGGCCCAGACUCCUACGGGAGGCAGCAGUGGGGAAUAUUGGACACUGGGCGAAAGCCUGAUCCAGCAAUGCCGCGUGAGUGAUGAAGGCCUUAGGGUUGUAAAGCUCUUUUACCCGGGAUGAUAAUGACAGUACCGGGAGAAUAAGCUCCGGCUAACUCCGUG
rnacentral:rRNA from 1 species